GCGACCGGCUGGGCUGAGAGGCCCGUGGCGGACCGGCAGUAGGGGGCUCUCAGCCCGGGCUUCUCCGGCAGCCGUCGGCAUUGCCUUGGGAGUGUCACCGACUGAUGCAGCCUGGCUCUCCCCAUACCUCACCCUGUAGGCACAAGUGGGGCCCCAGUUCACUGGCAGCUGUUGGCCGCCUUCACCCCGUGGCUCACCUGAAGCCUGGGCCGUGCAGGUGAGGUGAGAAUGGCGCCUGCUUUGUCAUCUCUAAGAGGCCCAAGCCUAGGAUCUUGCUUGGGUCCUCAGCUGGGCAGUCCUCAGGGAAACCAUGGUUUCCACUUGCCCUUUUAGCCCUCUGCCUUCCAAGGACCUAGAUGUGCAUGGAACCUUUUAGGACAGAUUCAUUUAACAACCAAAACACCCUGGCGACGGUUGCCAGGCAUCCUGUAUAUACAGGACAUGUCCUAUAUUAAAUGAUCUUGUCCAGUGUUGACUUUGGCAGGACACCCUAAAUGUCUUACAUUUAGCUUUUUCCAAUAAAUUAGAAAAACUCGUAGUGAGAGCUAUUUUUCUGCUAACUGGCACUUAAAUAACUUAAAUGUUAACACCGGCUGAAAUAUAUAUAUCUCAUACUUCCACAAAUAAUGAUCUGGACAGUCCUUUAUGGUCUGUUCUGUAAGUUGGACUGCAGGAAGAAAAAACAGUGAAGAGGGGAGUCUGCUAAUUAAAAGAACUUAUUUUUCAUAUUCAGGGAAGGAAAAGACUGUUUUUUGACCAAAGUCCCAAGUCACUAACAAGUACUUGCCAUUAAUUUACAUAAUUUUAGAUCAGUACACGUAACUCUGAAAAUCAACCAAUACACAACAGCGUCACUCCAAGCUUCUGAACAUGAGCCAGUCAGUGAUAAACACUUCCUGAAGCCAGCCAGUCAGUGGCAGCCCUCCCCAACUCAUUGGCAAGUACCUCUCUACUGUGCCCUUCCUUCUGGACAGGAGCCUUUCUCCAGUAUCAAAGUGGUGCCAAGAUGGACAGACUUUGUUUUACCUCGAUCACACUGAUACUUCUCCUGAACACAGUUCCAGAUACCAGGCUCCUCCUCACCAGGCAUUUCCAUGCUAUAAAGGGGAAUUGGUCUCCCACCACUAAAAGAUAAAAAAUGAUCCUGGGUAUCUAGAUAUAUUGCUUUAUUACAGGGGUCCCACUUCUUGGAUUUGUUAUUCCUUUCUUAAGAAUUAGACUGACUUAUGAAGUCCUAUUAUGGAGAGUAUACUAGGUAUCUACUGCUGCAUAACAAAUCACCCUAAAGCCUUAUGGCUGAAAACAAAACACACUAUCUCUUAAAGUUUCUAUGAAUCAAUGAGCAUAGGUCAGUCAGUCCUAAAAAGAGAAAAAAAAAAAAAAAA
rnacentral:lncRNA from 1 species